ensembl:processed_transcript C430049B03Rik RIKEN cDNA C430049B03 gene
GCUGGCUGCUCCUGCUCGCCUCUUGGGGUGCGCUCGGCUCCAGCCCAACUCCGCCAGCUCCGCCAGCUCCGCCGGCUCCAGCACCGCUCCAGCCCGAUUCCAGCCGGAUUCCAGCCCGAUUCCAGCCCGGUUCCAGCCCAGCUCCGUCCCGGCUCCGGUUCUUCUCCGCCACGCCUCUCUGUCGACGCUGAGGAGCAGCUUCGCAGGAAAAUCCCAGAAACCUUUGCAAAAAGCUUACAAUGAAAUUUAAGAAGUUCUACGAUUUCGGCGCCAUUUUCGAGUGGAGUGAGAGUAUUGGAAAAGUUUGGCUGGAAGGUGACCAUCGAUGGUUUUUUCCUCCACAAUUCCGUGUCCAUGUAAAAAUGACUUGUAAUAUAGCCAAGAAAAGACGGAAUUUUCAUUCCAACUUAAGGAGUGGGGCUGUUAUUAUUAAUGGCUUUAUUUAUCAUGACCUAAGCAAUGCAUAUGUUAGCACUGGAUCAUUAUCUGUUAUGUUAGGAAUUUUGUAUUUAGUUUAAUUACAUACUCUGUAUAUUUUAUUAAUUAAUUAAUAGGACCCAACAUUCAUUGUACUAGUUUCGAAAAACGGACAUAAUUUUAAAUGAGAAUACAGGAAAUUUGUAUACAGAAUGUUUUUUGCUUUCAAAGGCACUGUAGUUUUGUUGUUUUAGUUAUUAGGUUUGUGGUUAAGGACUAAAGGAUGGUUUUUGUGCUUUCCUGAAUGCUUUGUUUAAACAAGGAAAUGAAUGUAACUUGUUGC